UACAGAGGUCUCAAGCGUUGUUCGGAUUCAUUGGGCGUAAAGGGUGCGUAGGUGGCGGGGUAAGUCAGGUGUGAAAUUUCGGAGCUUAACUCCGAAACUGCAUUUGAUACUGCCUUGCUUGAGGACUGGAGAGGAGACUGGAAUUCACGGUGUAGCAGUGAAAUGCGUAGAGAUCGUGAGGAAGACCAGUGGCGAAGGCGGCACUCUGGGCUGGUACUGACGCUGAGGAGCGAAAGCGUGGGUAGCAAACAGG
rnacentral:rRNA from 1 species